UUGAGCUAGUCUCACUUGGGGCCCAGUCUUUUUUGUGAUAAGUCGGGAUGAGUACGGCUUUGAGUUGAUCUCGUUGACCUCCACAUUUGGAUUAUUAAGAGAAAUUUCGACUUGAGUUGAUCUCGCUAACAGAGGUUGGUAUUAAGAGAGCUGUGUAGGGGAUCAGCUCCCAUAUAUAUUAUGAUUGAUAUUACCGGGUGC
rnacentral:misc_RNA from 1 species